UACGUAGGGCGCAAGCGUUAUCCGGAAUUAUUGGGCGUAAAGAGCUCGUAGGCGGUUUGUCGCGUCUGCCGUGAAAGUCCGGGGCUCAACUCCGGAUCUGCGGUGGGUACGGGCAGACUAGAGUGCAGUAGGGGAGACUGGAAUUCCUGGUGUAGCGGUGGAAUGCGCAGAUAUCAGGAGGAACACCGGUGGCGAAGGCGGGUCUCUGGGCAGUAACUGACGCUGAGGAGCGAAAGCGUGGGGAGCGAACAGG
rnacentral:rRNA from 1 species